rnacentral:rRNA from 1 species
AGGACGAACGCUGGCGGCGUGCUUAACACAUGCAAGUCGAGCGGAAAGGCCUUUCGGGGUACUCGAGCGGCGAACGGGUGAGUAACACGUGAGUAAUCUGCCCAUCGCUUCAGGAUAGCCAUCGGAAACGGUGAUUAAUACUGGAUAUGACAUUCCUUCGCAUGUUGGGGUGUGGAAAGUUUUUUCGGCGGUGGAUGUGCUCGCGGCCUAUCAGCUUGUUGGUGGGGUAAUGGCCUACCAAGGCUUUGACGGGUAGCCGGCCUGAGAGGGUGACCGAGCCACACUGGGACUGAGACACGGCCCAGACUCCUACGGGAGGCAGCAGUGGGGAAUUUGGACAAUGGGGAAACCUGAUCAGCCAUCCCGCGUGUGCGAUGAAGGCCUGGGUGUAAGCACUUUGCAGGAGAACGGCGCACUAUACGGCGUCACUGACGGUACCUGCAGAAUAAGACACCGGCUAACUAC